CGCAUAGAAACUGACAGAAGAGAGUGAGCACACAAAGGCACUUUGCAUGUUCGAUGCAUUUGCUUCUCUUGCGUGCUCACUGCUCUAUCUGUCAGAUUCCGGCU
rnacentral:pre_miRNA from 2 species